CGCGAUCAAGAGGAACUUUCCCAACAUGCACAGAAAGAGUUCAAAACCAGAGCUCCUCACUGUCUGAAAGGAACUGGUGAGGCAGGAUUCUCAAAGAAUCUGCAGGGAAGAAAAACAGGCUUUCAAAGAGUAAAGAGAGCUGGCAUGAAGGCCUGAGGAAGUGUGUGGUGCCUGCUCCCUGCAGAGUCCUCAGGGAAACACUGGAGUCCACAGUGUCUGGGGCUACACUCAUUAGAUUCUAAGGCCACGUGAAACCUAUACCAUGAACUGGAUCCACAGGCACUUCCGACUGCAUCUGUGCUGCCUUGAAAAUUCCAAUUCAUCUUCCAAAAAGUAAGA